rnacentral:rRNA from 1 species
AUUGAACGCUGGCGGCAGGCCUAACACAUGCAAGUCGAGCGAGCGGCGGACGGGUGAGUAAUGUAUGGGGACUGCCCGAUAGAGGGGGAUAACUACUGGAAACGGUGGCUAAUACCGCAUACUAUCGGAUAACCCAGAUGGGAUUAGCUAGUAGGUGGGGUAAAGGCUCACCUAGGCGACGAUCUCUAGCUGGUCUGAGAGGAUGACAAGCCACACUGGGCUGGCGACACGGCCCAGACUCCUACGGAGGCAGCAGUGGGGAAUAUUGCACAUGGGGCGCAAGCCUGAUGCAGCCAUGCGGCGUGUAUGAAGAAGGCCUUAGGGUUGUAAAGUCCUUUCAGCGGGGAGGCGUUACCCGCAGAAGAAGCACCGGCUAACUCCGUGCCAGCAGCCGCGGUAAUUC